AGUUUGUUUUUGACUAUUUUUAGGUUGGUAUAUUGCCCUUGUAUGAACUACCUAAGUGAAAAAAACUCUGGUAAUCAUCUACAUAACAUAAAAGGGGUACUUCAAACAACUGCUAUGUCACUUAAAUAAACUAAUGCACUGUUAAAAUGCUGAAUAUGAGAACAAAAAUCCCCAACAUUGCAAAACACUGUACAGUGUGUUUGGGACUUUUACCAUUGAAAACCAUUAGACCAUAACAUUGAAACCAUUAGAACUGCUGUAGCCUGAUGGUUUGCUUUUUCAACAGGAAUGGUCUAACUAAUCCAGACCUUUUCUGAAGGGAAUAAACCACACACACGGUUCAUUUCCUGGACACAGAUUAAGCCCAAGAGAAGGACAAACUGAAGGACUGGCUUGAAUUGUGGAACGACACUCAUCCCCGUUUGUUCAAGCUGAACCCAGAAACCGCCCCACAACAGCAACACAGAAUGCCUAAGGGAACGCAUGCAGGAUGACACUAUUUUCCCCCAGAAGUUAUGAAUAAAACACAGUCAAAGUUGAUUGCA